rnacentral:rRNA from 1 species
AGGAAUAUUGGUCAAUGGCCGGGAGGCUGAACCAGCCAAGUCGCGUGAGGGAAGACGGUCCUACGGAUUGUAAACCUCUUUUGUCGGGGAGCAAAGGCGGCUACGCGUAGCCGGAUGAGAGUACCCGAAGAAAAAGCAUCGGCUAACUCCGUGCCAGCAGCCGCGGUAAUACGGAGGAUGCGAGCGUUAUCCGGAUUUAUUGGGUUUAAAGGGUGCGUAGGCGGAGUGCCAAGUCAGCGGUAAAAUUUCGGGGCUCAACCCCGUCGUGCCGUUGAAACUGGCGCCCUUGAGUGGGCGAGAAGUAUGCGGAAUGCGUGGUGUAGCGGUGAAAUGCAUAGAUAUCACGCAGAACUCCGAUUGCGAAGGCAGCAUACCGGCGCCCGACUGACGCUGAAGCACGAAAGCGUGGGUAUCGAACAGGAUUAGAUACCCUGGUAGUCCACGCAGUAAACGAUGGAUACUAGCUGUCCGGGACGAUUGGGUCCUGGGUGGCACAGCGAAAGCGUUAAGUAUCCCACCUGGGGAGUACGCCGGCAACGGUGAAACUCAAAGGAAUUGACGGGGGCCCGCACAAGCGGAGGAACAUGUGGUUUAAUUCGAUGAUACGCGAGGAACCUUACCCGGGCUCAAACGCUGGAGGAAUACUUUUGAAAGGAGGUAGCUCUACGGAGCCUCCAGCGAGGUGCUGCAUGGUUGUCGUCAGCUCGUGCCGUGAGGUGUCGGCUUAAGUGCCAUAACGAGCGCAACCCCCAUCGACAGUUGCUAACGAGUAGAGUCGAGGACUCUGUCGAGACUGCCGGCGCAAGCUGCGAGGAAGGCGGGGAUGACGUCAAAUCAGCACGGCCCUUACGUCCGGGGCGACACACGUGUUACAAUGGCAGGUACAGCGGGAAGCCACCUGGCGACAGGGAGCGGAACCCGAAAGCCUGUCUCAGUUCGGAUUGGAGUCUGCAACCCGACUCCAUGAAGCUGGAUUCGCUAGUAAUCGCGCAUCAGCCACGGCGCGGUGAAUACGUUCCCG